rnacentral:rRNA from 1 species
GAGGAAAAGAAACCAACCGGGAUUGCCUUAGUAACGGCGAGUGAAGCGGCAAAAGCUCAAAUUUGAAAUCUGGCACCUUCGGUGUCCGAGUUGUAAUUUGAAGAAGUAACUUUGGGGCUGGUCCUUGUCUAUGUUCCUUGGAACAGGACGUCAUAGAGGGUGAGAAUCCCGUGUGGCGAGGAUCCCAGUUCUUUGUAAAGUGCUUUCGACGAGUCGAGUUGUUUGGGAAUGCAGCUCUAAGUGGGUGGUAAAUUCCAUCUAAAGCUAAAUAUUGGCGAGAGACCGAUAGCGAACAAGUACAGUGAUGGAAAGAUGAAAAGAACUUUGAAAAGAGAGUGAAAAAGUACGUGAAAUUGUUGAAAGGGAAGGGCAUUUGAUCAGACAUGGUGUUUUGCGACCCUCGCUCCUUGUGGGUGGGGAUCUCGCAGCUCACUGGGCCAACAUCGGUUUUGGCGGCAGGAUAAAACUUUGGGAAUGUAACUUGUCUUCGGAGAAGUAUUAUAGCCCAAGGCAAUACUGCCAGCCGGGACCGAGGACUGCGACUUUUGUCAAGGAUGUUGGCAUAAUGGUUAUAUGCCGCCCGUC